AUGGAGGAAUUAAAAGAUGUUAUCUGGUCCAUGCACGGGGAAAAGGCCCUGGGACCUGAUGGGUUCAUUGGCAACUUCUUCAAGCACUGUUGGGAUUGUGUCAAGUUGGAUUUAUUCUCUGCUGUACGACAAUUUUUUGAUCUGAAGGGGUCCACGGGCCACCUGCUGAACAUUGCGCACUUGGUUUUAAUCCCAAAGAAAGAGGCAGUUUCUGAUGCAAGGGACAAUAGGCCGAUCAGCUUGAUACAUAGUUUUGCAAAGAUUGUUUGCAAGCUUUUAGCAACUAGGCUGGCUCCUGAGCUCAACAAUAUCAUUUCCCCGUGUCAGAGUGCUUUAUAA
rnacentral:rRNA from 1 species